AUAUAGCUGUCGAAGGUAGUAGCUUGUCUCUAUAUAUGUCGGUGUGUAAGGGUAGCCAUUUGGGUUGACCUUAGUUUUACUAAAUAGAAUAUAUAUCAAACGUUAACGUAGUAUAUAUAGAAACCAUAUAUUAUUAUUUUGAAGAGUAAAGUUUUGAUUAAAUAUUGUUCAACCGACAAACAAUUUAUACGCGGAUCAUAUGGGUUGGUAAACAUUAUUUCUACUAAAUUAUAUCCCUAUGUGUGAAAAGCAAGAUAGGGGUAGUGUAGAAAGUGGACUCCAUGUCAUGUGACCCAAGAAAGAAUCUCCUCUCAUCCUUACGUAUAUAAGGACCCCAUGAAAACUAAUGCAUGCCCAUAUCAAUUAUCUCUCUCUCAUAUAUGAAAAGUUGAGGGGAAUGUCGUCUGGUUCGAGAUCAUUCAUGCAAAGUAUAAGCUCAUCUGAAUGAUUUCGGACCAGGCUUCAUUCCCCUCAACACAGCUAGAGAAACUUCUAUCUAUGAUGUUCACCAUUAAUCAGGAUGAUAAGAAUUAUUAAUGUUCGAUCUAACGGUAAGCAGAGGAGGAACAGCUAGCUAGCUAGCUAGCCAGAAACUGGAAAUCAGAGCAGGCAUAUAUGCACCAGGUCAAGGUGGGUAACAUUUUAUUAAUUAAUUAAUUAAUGUUCAAUCUCUUUCCAUGUGUUUCGCCUAAUUUGUUGACGAAAAGAACAGAAAAAAAGAAAAAAGCUGCAUUAAUUAGUGUGAACAUCUGACUGCAAGGUUAUUUUGGUCUUCCUUUAUCUUUUGGUUUGUUUAUUUUAAGAUGGGUACUGAUAGUCUGAUAGUAACUGUUUAUUCAUGCCAAACUGUUUCGACAAGGUGGGUCAAAUAAUAAAAACUCUUGUGGGUCAACUUGAUCUACACGAAGAAACUAAAACGACUACAAAUCUCAACGUAUUCAUGAUCAUAUCAGAUCUACAUGUGAAGCUCAUAAUUUCAGGUGGGUCAGGUUUGCUGGAGGGUUGUCAUAUGUUUAGAGCUAGCAACUGUAGCUAUACCCACACACAUGCAAUAUUUGACAAUGUGCAGACAUAGGACUUCUUUAUCGAUAUCUGUUGGUGAAAUUAUUGUAUUAUAUGGUUGUGAUUUUCAUGUUGAAAGUAAGGUUGAAAAUUUGGUAUCAAAGUACUUCUUUUAAUUUUGGGGUCUGAUAAGACAUGGGAGGCCGGCUGGAGAUUUGAGAUGAAAGAUUAGAAAGAAGAAUACACUAGCUAGGGGUAGCAAUUACCAGUAGGGUCUUGUCUGCAUAUAUAUAUAUAUAUAGCUGCAUGCUGGCUUUGUGUCUAGAUUAGCUAGGGUUAAUUAUCAUCUUAUAAUAUAUCUUUUUAUUCUUCUUCUUUGAGCUCAUCUCCUUCAACUGAUCAUCUUUCAUUCAAAUCAUAAUAUGUAUUAAUAACAGCAUUUAGUGUGACUGGCUAUGUUACUUUUUUUUUAAUCAUGCACAUAUAUAUAUAUCUCACAUGACACAUGCACUGUUAGCAUAUAAAAGAAUAUUCAUGGAAAUCUAUCAAUCGAUGUCAAACACUUACCAUGAAUCAUUUUAUUGAAACACAGUGAUUCCUCAAUGCCUCUCAUUGGAUCAUGCCUGUGGUUUUUCACAAGGUUUGAAUCUGCUAUAUGUAUAUAUUAGCCAUCAAAGAGAAUAUAUAACAAUUAAGCUACUUCAAGAUUGUAUAAUUGAUCCAAGCAAUCUAUAAGUUAUAUUUCAUUUCGGUUUGUAGACACGUGUGUGACUUGACCCAUCAAGUUGGUAGGGUCCAACAGCAAAUAUUACUCAAUUUAGUACUCCUUUUUGGAGGAGAGGAUUUAUUUCAUUGACCGACUUGUAUUUGGUCUUUGACAGCCGACUUAGUAUUUUAUAAAAAAAAAAAGGGAGUCACACUUUUAAUUUUGUGUUGUAUUGCACGUGAAUUUUGGUCUUCAUGUGUGUGAUUAUUUUGUCUUAUUCACCGUAAUUAUGGUCUUUUUUGCAUAACACGAUUGAUUGAUUGAAUUUUAUUUUAUUUUAUUAUGAAGCCUUAAAUUUGAGAUAUGUGGGGAAGUAGAGAAUGAAAACUUUGAUGAAAAAAAGAAAAGAAAAAAAGGAAAUGACGAUGCGCUUCUAAAUUUUUAAACCGAAAACAAAAUUACUAUGCUUAACCAUGCAUUGCUAUUUCAAUUGGUUUGUUGCCUUCUAUGUAUACAAGAUAAGUUGCAGUCUCUGUUUGGUACUAUAAAUUUUAUUAUAACCUCAUUGAAACUGAGAUGAUAGUUCUAGUGUAUAGUUGAUAAGUUAAUCAUUAACUAGUCAAAUUUUUUAAUUAAUAAUUUCACCAAUUACGAACUGACAUGUUAAUUUGUAAAAACUUUAUAGUAAAGAGAAAUGAUUUGUGAGUCCCACAAAUCGAAUGAUUAAUUUGUAACAACAAAUGUACACUAGAUAAAGGUCUAUAUAGUAAAAGAAGCAAGGGCCCCUAACAACUCUCUUUGUUUAUCAACGUACU
rnacentral:precursor_RNA from 1 species